GGCUGUGAUCAUACCAGCACUAAUGCACCGGAUCCCAUUAGAACUCCACAGUUAAGCGUGCUUGGGCGAGAGUGGUACUAGGAAAGGUGACCUCUUGGGAAGUUCUCGUGUUGGACCCC
rfam:Gossypium arboreum cultivar AKA8401 contig_31033_5, whole genome shotgun sequence.